UACGUAGGGGGCGAGCGUUGUCCGGAGUUACUGGGCGUAAAGGGCGCGCAGGCGGUCUGGUAAGUUUGGAGUGACAGUGUUCGGCUUAACUGAGCAAGGCCUUCGAAAACUAUCAGACUUGAGCACUCAAGAGGGACAUAGAAUUCCAGGUGUAGCGGUGAAAUGCGUAGAUAUCUGGAGGAACACCGGUGGCGAAGGCGGCAUCCUGGACCGGUAUUGACACUGAGGCGCGAAAGCCAGGGGAGCAAACGGG
rnacentral:rRNA from 1 species